rnacentral:rRNA from 1 species
CCUACGGGAGGCAGCAGUAAGGAAUAUUGGUCAAUGGGCGCAAGCCUGAACCAGCCAUGCCGCGUGCAGGAUGACGGCCCUCUGGGUUGUAAACUGCUUUUAUACGGGAAGAACAGCAUCUACGUGUAGGUGUUUGACGGUACUGUAAGAAUAAGGACCGGCUAACUUCGUGCCAGCAGCCGCGGUAAUACGAAGGGUCCAAGCGUUAUCCGGAUUUAUUGGGUUUAAAGGGUGCGUAGGCGGCUUUUUAAGUCAGUGGUGAAAGCCUGAUGCUCAACAUCAGAACUGCCAUUGAUACUGAAGAGCUUGAGUACAGUUGAGGUUGGCGGAAUGUGUCAUGUAGCGGUGAAAUGCUUAGAUAUGACACAGAACACCGAUUGCGAAGGCAGCUAGCUAAGCUGUUACUGACGCUGAUGCACGAAAGCGUGGGGAGCAAACAGGAUUAGAUACCCUGGUAGUCCACGCCCUAAACGUUGAUAACUCGUUGUUAGCGAUAUACUGUUAGCGACCAAGCGAAAGCAUUUAAGUUAUCCUAACCGUCGGUAGUUACGGUUCGUCGAGAGUUAGUUAACGUUACAAUAGAAGUUAGUUACGGCGUUGAGGACGUUAGCCGACGGACGACCGACCGAGGGGAGGUUAGGAG